GGGCCCGUGUGACGCUUGCGAGCCCCCCGGGCCCCGGGGCGGCUCGCCCUUUGCCCACCCCUGGGUGGCCCCUCCCAGGGGCCUGGGCCAUGAUGCUGUGCAACCCUUCCCAGCUGGGCUUGGCCGCAGCGACCUCCUCCCCCAGGCCGGCUGUGGGACUACACCGGGAUUCGGUGCCCACCCUCCCAUGGCUUGACUCAGGGAUCAGGUCCCUAAAGGAUCAGGGGUGCCUUCCAGGCAUGCAUUAAGCAACCUGACUAACAGCUGCCAUCUGUACUUUGUUCCUGAGCUUUGAAAUUCAAGUCCUCUGUUCACCGGGGCCUGGUAAAUAUUAUCUGCAUUGUACAGAUCAAUUCUCCAAUUUGUCAAGCUAAUUUUGAAUUCGCAUCUUACCCUCCAAAGCACUUCUCAGCUUGGCGUCAUCUGCAAAUAUGUUAUAAGCGCACAGAGCUUUGUUUCAGAAGAUGGAGUGUAUCUACCUUUACAUUUGAGAAGUAUCACUUAGAUAUAAAAGCACCAGAGGAGUCCCUGCAAGGGAGAGGUUACAGUCAUCACGAGGCCCUGCAGGAACUGAGACCCAUUGACUGAAGUAUACCUGCCUCUUAUCUUCACUGCAUUCUGACCCCAUCCUAUAUAUUAGCCCCCACCUCUGCUGUUUCCCAGAGCUCUCCCUGCACCUAGGUCUCUUUUCUGAGCCUUCUCUGCAACUCAUGUGCCAGAGCUCAAUAGGAGCAUUUAGUAAGACUGUCAUUCAUUCAGUGGAUUAUUAUGAUGAUACCUGCUGAGUAACACAAA